GUUUUAAUAAAUCGGCUUUACAGGUUCAUACAGAUAGUCUAUCACACUUAAAAAGACGCUUGUUUUUGUCCACCUAGUGGCAUAACAGUGUGGUUUGCAUUAUAAAUGGUAAAAUUAAUCAUUCAGAAAAAAGAUUUGAAUCAUUGAGAACUGAAUCGCUUCACGUCGCCGAUUCGAAUGCUUGUCAGUCAACUGUCACCAACCGUCUUCUGAAGGUAAAGUACUUCUUAAGUUAUUUUAUUGUUAAAGUGCUCUAAUUACUGCUCUGUUUUAACGUUAAAUCAGUAAAUUGCUUUAUAACAUCAAAACAAAUGCUUAUUUUAUUUUUAAAGUCGAGAUCAUAUUAGUAAUUACUAGCACAUUGCUAACGUAAUAUACCCAGACCUAACAAUUUAUACCUGUUAACAUUAUAUUGUUAACUUACUUAACGUACCUUCCAGAAACCCCUGAAGAGAUGGAGGAGGAAUUAGCUAACCCGUCCAAGCGGAUAAGGACAGCAAAAGUCCUCAACCAGGAUGAAGAAUAGGACGAGAAAGGAACUGAAAAAGAAAAAGGAGCUCUGAAAGAGAAAAACGGAGUCGAGCCAGGUCCAGUCAAUAAUAUGGUGAUUUUGUCUGCGAGGCCCGAAGAGAGGAAACUUGCUGAAGGAUUAAGGAGUACACUUUAUAAAGGUGUCACCAGUGAGCUGCCUGAUCUUUCAGUCCUUCAAGUGGCAGAGAUUUACAAACACUUUGCCAGUUUUACAGCCCCUUUGGUCACCACAAUUGGAAUGUUGAGUGAGGAUUUUUGGGUGGAUUCUGCCUUCGGAAAAAUUCAAGUUGGAAUAGUCCUGUCAUACCAACAGCCAGCUGCAACAAACCGCAACAUUGUUCCUCAUCGUGAUGCCUCACCAACACCACCACUGCCACUAGAUUGUUACAGCCACCUGUCUGCUUGUUUUUUCAUAAUAAUCAGAAACAACUUCACAUGAGGUCAUUGACCAUAACUUCAGAAAUGGCUCACUAUGUUAAGCAAGCCACCAGAUAUCAGAGUGCAUGUCUUGAUUGGCAUUCUGUCAGGAAAACCCGGAUAACGUCGUCACGCUUCAGUAAGAUGUCUGUCAUGUGCAUGGCCAGACCUCAGCUGAACACCUGGCCGAAAGAAUCCACAAGGAACUCGUCAGACAGCCGACAUGAAGCGAGGACUUCAAAUGGAGUCUGAAGCAGUUAUGGAGUACUGCUUGCUGCGAGAGGUAAAUUACCAGCCAUGUGGAUUUUUAAUUCACACUGAUGCUCCUUGGCUGGGGUCCCCUCCAGAUGGGAUCAUUUUUGACCACAACGAGCACCAUGUUUUAGGCCUUCUAUAAAUAAAAUGUCCCAACGUCAAAAGUUUUGUUGACUGUUCUUACCUCAAAUUUCACAAUGGCACACCAGAACUGAAACAGCAACAUGCCUACACUGUUAACCCUUACUGUAGAUUAUGCAGUAAAUAACUGUAAAAUAGCCAGUGUUUUGCUGUAAUAAAAGGAAACAGUAUUUUACUGUAAAAGGAGCAGUAUUUGUAUGAAAUUUUGUAGUGCAAAGCAUAAAUUACAGUAAUUUACUUUAUGUACCCAUUACAGAUAGUUACUGUGAUAAUAAAUGGUAAAUUACUGCUCAACCAUUAUUACCCCAUGUACUCUGAUGCUUUAUGUUGCUA
ensembl:lincRNA